GGCUCAUGUUAUUCAACAGCUCUUCCACAAGUGUAUCAUGGUACUGGACCUCCACAGUUGGCAUCCUAGGCGGAGAUAUUUCAAUCAGAGCAACUGAAAGGAAAGCGUACCUCUUGGCUACAACACUGGUUGCCAUGCCUUGAGGUAAAGGGCUUGCCAAACACUCUAAAAUUCUGUGUCUUAGAAGAGGGAUCCGUGUCCCAUAC
rnacentral:misc_RNA from 1 species